AGCGAACGCUGGCGGCAGGCCUAACACAUGCCAGUCGAACGGGCAUAGCAAUCUGUCAGUGGCAGACGGGUGAGUAACGCGGGGGAACGCCCCUUUUUGUUCGGUACAACACGGGGAAACUUGUGCUAAUAGCGGAUAAGCCCUUACGGGGAAAGAUUUAUCGCCGAAAGAUCGGCCCGCGUCUGAUUAGGUAGUUGGUAGGGUAAUGGCCUACCAAGGCGACGAUCAGUAGCUGGUCUGAGAGGAUGAUCAGCCACAUUGGGACUGAGACGCGGCCCAGACUCCUACGGGAGGCAGCAGUGGGGAAUAUUGGACAAUGGGGGAAAGCCUGAUCCAGCCAUGCCGCGUGAGCGAUGAAGGCCCUAGGGUUGUAAAGCUCUUUUAGGCGGGAAGAUAAUGACGGUACCAGAAGAAGAAGCCCCGGCUAACUUCGUG
rnacentral:rRNA from 1 species